GCACAAGCGGUGGAGCAUGUGGUUAAUUCGAAGCAACGCGAAGAACCUUACCAGGUCUUGACAUCCCGAUGCUAUUUCUAGAGAUAGAAAGUUACUUCGGUACAUCGGUGACAGGUGGUGCAUGGUUGUCGUCAGCUCGUGUCGUGAGAUGUUGGGUUAAGUCCCGCAACGAGCGCAACCCCUAUUGUUAGUUGCCAUCAUUCAGUUGGGCACUCUAGCGAGACUGCCGGUAAUAAACCGGAGGAAGGUGGGGAUGACGUCAAAUCAUCAUGCCCCUUAUGACCUGGGCUACACACGUGCUACAAUGGUUGGUACAACGAGUUGCGAGUCGGUGACGGCGAGCUAAUCUCUUAAAGCCAAUCUCAGUUCGGAUUGUAGGCUGCAACUCGCCUACAUGAAGUCGGAAUCGCUAGUAAUCGCGGAUCAGCACGCCGCGGUGAAUACGUUCCCGGGCCUU
rnacentral:rRNA from 1 species